GAACAACUCUCAGCAACGGAUAUCUUGGCUCCUGCAACGAUGAAGAACGCAGCGAAAUGCGAUACGUAGUGUGAAUUGCAGAAUUCCGCGAAUCAUCGAGUUUUUGAACGCAAGUUGCGCCCGAGGCUUGACCAAGGGCAUUCCCGCCAGAGCGUCACC
rnacentral:rRNA from 1 species